CUGAAUUCUACCACCAGCCUUUGUCAAACUUUUGGGUAGUAAUCUUUUUUUGUUUCUUUGUCACACACAUUAUAAUUUAGGCAUGCAUUAACAGAUCCUGUUAUGUGUCACUGCCAAACACUGCCCAAUAUGUUCAGCAACAUCUCCCAAGUACAGUGAUACCCCCAUGUAUAGGGUUGCUGGGUUGUUUGGAGGCCAAAAGGCAACAAACAGAACUUGAACGUGUCCGUUUUUCAAAUUGAUAUAUAGGUAUGCUUGGUCUAUCUU